rnacentral:tRNA from 1 species
GGAGAGUUGGCAGAGCGGUAAUGCAUCGGACUCGAAAUCCGACGAACCGGUUUUUCCCGGCGGGCAGGUUCGACUCCUGUACUCUCCU